CAGCCGCCGCGGUAUACGUAGGGUGCGAGCGUUGUCCGGAACUACUGGGCGUAAAGAGCUCGUAGGUGGUUUGUCGCGUUGUUCGUGAAAUCUCACGGCUUAACUGUGAGCGUGCGGGCGAUACGGGCAGACUUGAGUACUGCAGGGGAGACUGGAAUUCCUGGUGUAGCGGUGGAAUGCGCAGAUAUCAGGAGGAACACCGGUGGCGAAGGCGGGUCUCUGGGCAGUAACUGACGCUGAGGAGCGAAAGCGUGGGGAGCGAACAGGAUUAGAUACCCUGGUAGUCCACGCCGUAAACGGUGGGUACUAGGUGUGGGUUUCCUUCCUUGGGAUCCGUGCCGUAGCUAACGCAUUAAGUACCCCGCCUGGGGAGUACGGCCGCAAGGCUAAAACUCAAAGAAAUUGACGGGGGCCCGCACAAGCGGCGGAGCAUGUGGAUUAAUUCGAUGCAACGCGAAGAACCUUACCUGGGUUUGACAUGCACAGGACGCCGGCAGAGAUGUCGGUUCCCUUGUGGCAUGUGUGCAAGUGGUGCAUGGCUG
rnacentral:rRNA from 1 species